rnacentral:rRNA from 1 species
CAGGCCUAACACAUGCAAGUCGAACGGUAACAGGAAGCAGCUUGCUGCUUUGCUGACGAGUGGCGGACGGGUGAGUAAUGUCUGGGAAACUGCCUGAUGGAGGGGGAUAACUACUGGAAACGGUGGCUAAUACCGCAUAACGUCGCAAGACCAAAGAGGGGGACCUUCGGGCCUCUUGCCAUCAGAUGUGCCCAGAUGGGAUUAGCUUGUUGGUGAGGUAACGGCUCACCAAGGCGACGAUCCCUAGCUGGUCUGAGAGGAUGACCAGCCACACUGGAACUGAGACACGGUCCAGACUCCUACGGGAGGCAGCAGUGGGGAAUAUUGCACAAUGGGCGCAAGCCUGAUGCAGCCAUGCCGCGUGUAUGAAGAAGGCCUUCGGGUUGUAAAGUACUUUCAGCGGGGAGGAAGGUGUUGUGGUUAAUAACCGCAGCAAUUGACGUUACCCGCAGAAGAAGCACCGGCUAACUCCGUGCCAGCAGCCGCGGUAAUACGGAGGGUGCAAGCGUUAAUCGGAAUUACUGGGCGUAAAGCGGCACGCAGGCGGUCUGUCAAGUCGGAUGUGAAAUCCCCGGGCUCAACCUGGGAACUGCAUUCGAAACUGGCAGGCUUGAGUCUUGUAGAGGGGGGUAGAAUUCCAGGUGUAGCGGUGAAAUGCGUAGAGAUCUGGAGGAAUACCGGUGGCGAAGGCGGCCCCCUGGACAAAGACUGACGCUCAGGUGCGAAAGCGUGGGGAGCAAACAGGAUUAGAUACCCUGGUAGUCCACGCCGUAAACGAUGUCUACUUGGAGGUUGUGCCCUUGAGGCGUGGCUUCCGGAGCUAACGCGUUAAGUAGACCGCCUGGGGAGUACGGCCGCAAGGUUAAAACUCAAAUGAAUUGACGGGGGCCCGCACAAGCGGUGGAGCAUGUGGUUUAAUUCGAUGCAACGCGAAGAACCUUACCUGGUCUUGACAUCCACAGAAGAAUCCAGAGAUGGAUUUGUGCCUUCGGGAACUGUGAGACAGGUGCUGCAUGGCUGUCGUCAGCUCGUGUUGUGAAAUGUUGGGUUAAGUCCCGCAACGAGCGCAACCCUUAUCCUUUGUUGCCAGCGGUUAGGCCGGGAACUCAAAGGAGACUGCCAGUGAUAAACUGGAGGAAGGUGGGGAUGACGUCAAGUCAUCAUGGCCCUUACGACCAGGGCUACACACGUGCUACAAUGGCGCAUACAAAGAGAAGCGACCUCGCGAGAGCAAGCGGACCUCAUAAAGUGCGUCGUAGUCCGGAUUGGAGUCUGCAACUCGACUCCAUGAAGUCGGAAUCGCUAGUAAUCGUGGAUCAGAAUGCCACGGUGAAUACGUUCCCGGGCCUUGUACACACCGCCCGUCACACCAUGGGAGUGGGUUGCAAAAGAAGUAGGUAGCUUAACCUUCGGGAGGGCGCUUACCACUUUG